CCCAUCUGUGACUAAGCAGCAUGCAAGAACUCUGUGUCACAGGCACAGCACAGGAUAUAAGGCUCCUGCCCCUGAGUCCUCACCACAGCCUCCAGGACCAGAUUCUGUGGCCUCCUCUGCAUCUGACUCAUCACCUCAUCCGCCCAGAUGUCCUGCCAGCAGAGCCAGCAGCAGAGCCAGCUCCCUCCCAAGUGCCCCUCCCCCAAGUGCCCCCCCAAGAGUCCUGCUCACUGCUCCCCCCAGGCCUCCUCAGGCUGUGCCUCCAGCUCUGGGGGCUGCCAUGGCCCCAGCUCCCAGCCUGGCUGCUGCCUGAGCUCUCACAGGCGCCACAGGGCCCAUGGGUGCCGGCGCCAGAGCUCGGGGUCCUGUGACGAGGGCAGUGCUGGGCAGUGUGGGGGUUCUGGGGGCUGCUGACCUGAACCCUGAUGCUGAGCUGAGGGAGUGGCUUCAGAGGAGUAGGUGACCCAAGGACUAGGAGAAUCUCGGCCUGGAGUAUCUUGAACUCUGCUCACUCUUCCUGGGCUGACUGAUGACUGUCCACAGUGAGGCCUAAACUCUCCCCUUAUUUCCAGGAGCUGGGAGUCCCCUUCCUCUUUGCCCCACAGCGGUGUUACAUGUUCUGACCAACUUUGUGGAGAAAUAAAGCCACUUCUCACCUG